AUGGCCUGGACUCCUCUGCUCCUCAUGCUCCUCUCUCACUGCACAGGGUCCCUCUCCCAGCCUGUGCUGACUCAGCCGCCCUCCCUCUCUGCAUCUCUGGGAGCCAAGGCCAGACUCACCUGCACCCUGAGCAUUGACGUCAGUGUUGGUGCGAAAAACAUAUACUGGUACCAGCAGAAGCCAGGGAGCCCUCCCCGGUACCUCCUGGCCUACAACUCAGACUCAAAUAAGCGCCAGGGCUCCGGGGUCCCCAGCCGCUUCUCUGGAUCCAAAGACGCCUCGGCCAAUGCGGGGAUCCUGCUCAUUUCGGGGCUGCAGCCUGAGGACGAGGCUGACUAUUACUGUGCUGUAUAUUAUAGCAGUGGGGGCAGCUACAGUUACCCACAGUGUCUCAGAUGA